ensembl:lncRNA
CACAACCACAGUCACAUAUAUAGGUCUCCACAACCAUAACCACAACCACAUUUACAGGUCUCCACAACCAUAACCACAACCACAAUCACAUCUACAGGUCUGCACAACCAUAACCACAACCACAACCACAAUCACAUCUACAGGUCUCCACAAACAUAACCACAACCACAAUCACAUCUACAGGUCUCCACAACCAUAACCACAACCACAAUCACAUCUACAGGUCUCCACAACCAUAACCACAACCACAAUCACAUCUACAGGUCUCUACAACCAUAACCACAACCACAAUCACAUCUACAGGUCUCCACAACCACAAUCACAUCUACAGGUCUCCAUAGCCACAACCACAUCUACAGGUCUCCAUAGCCACAAUCACAUCUACAGGUCUCCAUAACCACAACCACAAUCAAAUCUACAGGUCUCCAUAGCCACAACCACAACCACAAUCACAUCUACAGGUCUCCACAACCACAAUCACAGCUCUAAUCACAGUCACGAGUUGUAAUUAACAGUAACAGCUUCACCAAUUCACUGUUUGUUUGUGUGAAUAUUUAUGACUCUUUCUAAACGGUGUUGCAGAUAUUCUCCAGAUCAGCACAGCAGAGUCAGCAGCUAAAGCUGAGGAGACCUGGGGACAACUACGACACCUAGACCAGGAGGUGAGUUCUCUGGGGAAGGAGGUGACAGAGCUGGGCCGAGUAAUGAGGAGUAUGGCUCAACUGAUGGAGUCCUUCUUCUCCGGACCCCAACCCCUCUAUCCUGCACACUGCGUACCUGGACACCAUGCAUACCUGUCCCGCACUGCGCCCCCACCCCACACCGCCCCCACAGUCCUACCCCUCUCAGACUGAACCUCUCUGGGCAGACACCCCCUCACGACCCUCUCUUCCUGCAUCUCUCCGUCCUUUGGCCUGGCCAAGCGGCAUCCUGGGAUGUUCCAUGUGGAUCCCGCCCUCACCGCCAUUCCACACAGUCCCCAAGAUCUCCACCCGGCCCCCUCACGCCUCUCGCCUCCCUACCCCUCCUCCUUCUCCCUCACGGACACCUCCACAGAGCCCCUGUUGCCCUCUUCUCCUGGGACACCCCACUGUGAACGGGGAGGCGGCACAGGGUCCUCCAGGUCACGGGCACACAGUUUGGAGACCCCACAGCCACCGUGUGACAGGAAAGGAGGAGGGGUCGUUGCAGUCACCCCUCAGAGCUCCAGAAGCCUGCCCCGCCCUAGAGGGAGUUACCAGCACAUGGAUUUAUAGCAGACUGAACUGGACUAAAGAGAUACUGUAUUGUCUAAAGAGAUACUGGACUAAAGAGAUACUGGACUAAAGAGAUACUGUAUUGACUAAAGAGAUACUGGAUUAAAGAGAUACUGGACUAAAAUAGUGUAUGGGACUAACAACCAGGUCCCUAUAUCAGGGGAGUAUACACUCUUACAAGGGACACAAUCAGAUCUCUGAUGAUAAUGAUAACCUUUCAUUUUCUAUCUCUGUUUCCAAGGCACGUUUUCUUUUCAAAUAGCAUGACAAAAGCAGAGGGGCAGUAGGUAGCUUAUAGGUAGCUUUACCUUGUAUAAACAUUAGCAGAUGUUCCAGUAGUGUUCUAGAGGGGUAUAGAAUCAUGAAGGUCACUGUGACUUUGUGUGUUAUCCUCCGGAGAAGGCUCUGGGGUCUGGAGGAGUGGAGAGAAGGAACAGCAGGACUGCACAAUGACAGAGGACGAGGAGGAGGAGACUGGGUUGCAUCAGCAAUGGAGGGAAUAGUGGAGAUGCCUG